AUGCACAAGAGUGCCCGCCCGUGCACAAGCGUCUCUGCCCAUGCGCAAGUGUGUCCUCCCAUGCACAAGCAUCUCUGCCCAUGCACAAGUGUGUCCUCCCAUGCACAAGAGUGUCCGCCCGUGCACAAGCGUCUCUGCCCGUGCACAAGAGUGUCCGCCCAUGCACAAGAAUGUCCGCCCAUGCACAAGAGUGUCCGCCUGUGCACAAGCGUCUCUGCCCAUGCACAAGCGUGUCUUCCCAUGCACGAGUGUCUCUGCCCAUGCAUAAGCGUGUCUCCCAUGCACAAGCGUCUCUGCCCGUGCACAAGUGUGUCCUCCCAUGCACAAGAAUGUCUGCCCAUGCACAAGAGUGUCCGCCCGUGCACAAGCGUCUCUGCCCGUGCACAAGUGUGUCCGCCCAUGCACAAGUGCAAAGCAAGAUAUCAUUGCUUCUGGUUACACCCACCAAGUCCAGGUGCCCUCCUGACUCGGGAGCACACCUGUCCUGUUUCAGGUGGGGACUGCCCACCUCUCCCCAUGGGACAGGAUCCGAACCAGAUGCUUCACAGAGCUUGGCUCAGGGGACGGGAGGUGGCUUUUCCAGCUGGCAGGUGGGAGCUGGUGUCCGAUGGGAGAACGGCCCCCACACGGAGCGGGCCGUGGGUGAGGGGAAUGAUGUCUCAGUCUGCUCUGACGGCGAUAACGCUGCGUGAGGGGGUGACCUUGAACAACAGACACUUACUUCUCACGGUUCUGGAGGCUGGAAGUCCGAGAUCAAGGUGCCGGCAGAUUUGGUUUCCGGUGAAGCGUCUCCCCUCUACUCGAAGACAACUCCAUCUGGCCGUGCCCUCGGGUGGCCUGUCUUUGCUGCAGGCGGGGAGGGAGGGAAAGACCCUGCCCUGGUGUCUGCCCCUCUUACAGGGACAUCAGUCUGGCUGGGUCACAGCCCGACCCCACGGCCUCAUUAUCGCCUUAAUCGCCUCCCACCUCCAAACACCCACACUGCAGGUCAGGACCUUAGCACAGGACGUUUGGGGGACGUAG
rnacentral:lncRNA from 1 species